rnacentral:rRNA from 1 species
UACGUAGGGUGCGAGCGUUGUCCGGAAUUACUGGGCGUAAAGAGCUCGUAGGUGGUUUGUCGCGUUGUCCGUGAAAACUCACAACUCAAUUGUGGGCGUGCGGGCGAUACGGGCAGACUGGAGUACUGCAGGGGAGACUGGAAUUCCUGGUGUAGCGGUGGAAUGCGCAGAUAUCAGGAGGAACACCGGUGGCGAAGGCGGGUCUCUGGGCAGUAACUGACGCUGAGGAGCGAACAGCGUGGGGAGCGAACAGG